GAACCUACAUUCCUGUCCUGAG
rnacentral:siRNA from 1 species